rnacentral:tRNA from 1 species
GAGGGUAUAGCUCAAGUGGUAGAGAGUGCGUGCUUAGCAUGCACAUGAUCCUGGGUUCAAUCCCCAGGACCUCCA